AUUGGAGCUUCACCAGGUCUAUGACAUGGAGCUGCCAUCUCUAUGAUGAAAGCAGAGUUGCUCAUGUCUGAAACUUCUGGUCAUGAUCUAAAUCAUUCUCUUCACAUUAAGGUGGGAGAAAUAGAGUUAAGAGAAUAGGGCCAGGGCCGAGGAGCCCUAGAAACCAGCACAUGGUGGAGUCUGAAAGUCAACUCUGACUUCUAGUCCAGCCUGGAUGUUGUUGGGGGAAAACAGGGUACUUAGAGAUGCUUAGCAAUGAGAAACAAAGUCCUCUUCCACCCACUUGUUCUCUUUGGAAGCACAAAACAAAAAUGACACCCAAGCUGCAUAACCAGGUGCUUCUUCUCCUAUCCAGGGUGCAGGAGCUCCUGAUUUUCUAAAAUAUGUCAACUCCCAGCUGACUUUUCUGCAUAUAUUUAAAUAAGUGGACACUUACCGAUACAUCUUGUUCUCUGUAACACAAAUAAUUUCCUUCACAGAUGAUGAAAUAUAAAAUUGUAAGUGCCAAAAUAUGGAAGUAGGAAAAUGGAAAGAUGAAGGACUUAUACAGAAUGAGUCCAGGGAAGUUGAGCACCAAGAAACAGAGACAUUUUCCCCGCUGUGCCAGAAGAGCCACGGUCAGGACAAGGUGGAGUAUGAGCAUGGCUGAGUGCAGUGCACUAAGCUCCAGAACAGAAAUAGAAAAGAGUGAGCAGUGUGCAUUACCCUCCAAGGGGGAGCCAGGGGUGACUUUCAGAAGAGCCCAUCACUUCAUACAAGGAUCUCAAAUAGAAAACACAUAGGCCCUCAUAAAAUAUAAAUGUGGAAGAAAAGAUAUGAUUUAAGAUUGUCCAGUUUGUUUUAUUAAAUCAUAUCUUUAGGAUCUCAGCAAUGAGGGACAGGAAAUGUGGGCAGCAUCAACAUUCACAAACACCACAUAAUCACUCUUUUAUAGUCAUUGAAUCCAUUGUUCCAGGAUGAUUUGAGGAAAACGCUAUAGUAGGAAAAAUAGAGGUAAAUCUCCAGGUGCUGGUGUCCUCCAAAAUUUUGGCAUGUACUUUUGUGUCUACAAGUUGUGUUGACAGAAUUCAGCUGAAAAGUUAUUGCAUACAGUCAAAACUAAUUUUUCCAACAAACACUGAUGUCUUUAUGGAACUGU
rnacentral:lncRNA from 1 species